CAUUCCAUAUAUAAAGAACAACCCGCUCCUUUCAUUCGCAAACUAGGGUUUCCAACAUUGAGCGUCUUCUCCAAGCUUCCUCUCUCAAUCUCAAACGUCUGAUAAGGUGAAUGAUUGAGGGCUCAUUCUUUCCUUUUCAAUGUCGCAACAUAUUUCGCUUCGAUUUGUUCAAAUCACAAGUUCUAAUGUGUUGUUUUGAUAUUGAUGAUAUAUACUGUAAAUGUCUUGCUGAUCAUAUCAGGUUCUAAUGUUACUUUCAUGCUAUAUCAUCAUUUUUCACAUAAUCACAUUCAAUUGUUAUUCACCAGGUUCAAAAUGUUGCUUGAAUAGUGCAUGUUUACUGUUUGAUGAAAUUCCUUUGAGAGACAUUUGUUUUAUUUAUUAGGUUUUGUCAAUCUUUCUUUGAGUUCAUCAUUUUUUAUCACUUGAUUGAUGUUUAUCGUGAAUGUUGCGGCAUAAUAUUGGUGACACAUUUUGUUGCUGAGAAUCUUAUGCUGAAAAGGGGAGAAAACAAGGAGAUUUCUAUGGCAUAGAGGCUUAAUCGUAAUAAUGUCAUUGAGAUACUAGGAUAUUGUGUAGAUGGUGGUUCGAGAUUACUUGCUUACGAGUACGCUUGAAAUGGAAUGUUGUUCAAUGUAAAACCAUCUUUCAUGGUCAAGUAUAUGUGUGUGAAUGGGAACCAUCCUUUGAUGUACGCUCAGAGCCCAACCAAAUUUCAAGCAUCUUAACAUCAUAAUCUUACAUAUAUAUGAUAAGGCUUUAAUCAAGAAAUUGUUUCCUCUUGCAAUGGUUGUUGGAGUUGUUAUUCUAUAUUUUGGGUCACGAAGAAAAUUUAUUGAUCGGUUUGUUUCAUAGAAUACCAUUAAAUUCAGUCAUAAAACCGAUGUUUUUGGGUUACAAGAUUCAAUAUUCGGGGAGUAAACGCAGUCACUCUAAUCUGGGUUGCAUGCGCCUUCAAGAUUAGAAGGUAUCCCCUAAUCGCGACCGGAUUUACCCAAAACCUCACAUUUGAUGAAGACGCUGAGAAAUGUGGGGGCCAUAGAUACUAUUUGUUGAAAUGCUUAAAUGAGAUGUCACAAUUUUAAUGUAUGAUGUUCAACCUUUUGUUAUGGUUAGACGCUGAGAAAUGUGGGGGCAAAGCGGCCUAAUUGACCCCACGAGGACAAGCCAUUCAUAGGGGUGCACCAAAUGAGGCCAACGUCGCCAUCUCAUAUGGCACAACCUGCGAAUGAAUCGAAAUGGGAACGAGCGAUUCCCGUGAACGUUGGGCCUGUACUGCAGUAUCCUCCCUGUGCUGUUUCAUACGACUAUCAACCUGUUUCAAAAUAAUACAAAGAUCCUAACGUGGGUUCCCCUUUGAUUUCCCAGUGAUCAUGGAUCUAAAACGGAACUAAAGGGUCUGGGAUUUUGAGUGUGGUUAAUGUUAGUGGCUGAGUGGCUUAAGCAAGUAGUACAAACUAAAGUCGUUGAUUAGCAAUAUCGAACCUAAUGCUUUAACUCCACCUCUGAGAGGAUUUUAGUGACUUGGCAGUGGAAUAUUGAGUUUGUCCAUCCAAGAAGGAAGAUGGCAUGCUUGGUUGGGUGAGAAAGGGCCAGAUGGUGCCAGAGUUUUAGCAAGAUGCAUUUAACGCCCCAUUAAACAAGAACGUAUGGAGUGGAAUGUCUGGAGUUAGUUUGACUUGAGCAGGGUUGGUUGGUAAGCUGGUGCAAGGGUCCAACCUUCUUUAGAGUCUUUAAGACUGGAGGGUAUGGAGAGCCUCAUCCCCAAGGGGAUGGGCUGCCACAUCACCGCCACGUAAGCGGGGCUUGAGGGGGAUGGACCUAGGGGGUGGGGGAUGAACCCCUUUAUAUAUAUGUAUGUAUGUAUAGUUAUAUGUGAGAGAAGGAGGCACAACGAGUCCGGCUUGUGGGAGACGGAUGGGACGAGCCGACCCUAUGGGGGGCGGUGUGGGGGACCGGCGCCGGGCCAGGCCGGGCCUAAGCCGCCCCCAUACCCUUUAGUCUAAGUGACCCACCAUAGCUAUACAUGCCAUUAUGCACUUCUUUUGGGAUGUGCAUUGCAUCUGGAAGUCUUCUGAGUUCAAUAAUGGACGACCUUUAGCUUCUUUUGCUAGAAUCCUGAGCCUUGGAAUUGGAGAUAUUAUGGAUGACUUGAAUGAUUUAUAGGAAUCUAUGGUUGGGCAUGAGUAUGGUGUUCUUCGGUGGAGUAAAGCAGGCAGCAAAACUACUAGAAUAACGUUUUUCCAACCUGCUUGAUCUGCCAUGCUUCCACUUCUUGCUGCCACAGGACCGAUUUCACUCAGGUGGGUCUUUUUAGAAGAUCGCUUUCAUUCAAGAUUGUUGGUGGUACAUGAGCUAGACAAAGUCGGAAGAUAUUUCGUUCAGUGACGAUUGUUUUUUCAACUGGUCUACAAGGAAUGCCAGGUUAUUGGUUACGAAGCUCCAAAAAGCAAAAUUAUUAGAUUAAUAGGUUAUUCAUUGUUAUUUCGCACAAGAGACACUUAAUUUCAACGUUUAUUUAUGUUUUCAUUAUGAUUAUAUCCAUAGUACGUGGAUUGUCUUAUUUACUUUAUGAACCUUUUGCAUUCGAUAACAAUUUCUUUUAAAGAUU